GUCUCCCUGGAUAUCCAAAGCUGAACUCCUAACCAGUGAGAGGAGCGAGUCCUCACGUCCAGAUGACCUCAUUCCUGAUCUCAAGGUUCGUCCUUCUCAAAGUUCGGUCCUUCUCCAGCAAAAGCUCCGGCCCGAGCACCCCCAAGUGGACGGCCUCCUCCUUCCGAAGAUCCGACCCCAACCUUCAUAAUCAAGUCGAUCCGAUACUCACUAACAGAUGCGGCGAUGGGGAUGCACUCCAGUGGUAGUAUCAGUAGAAGUUUUAUGUAGCUAUCAAGAUCCACCGCUAUCGAGAACGUCAAGAAUCCGGUCAUCCUGGAUGAUGGUAAUAAAAAAACGAAGAAGAUUGUCUACAAAGAGAUCAUUACAUCAUAGGAAGGCUCGGGAGUCAGGUGCGAGACAGCUCUCUCAUGUAAGAAUUAGGCGAAAGAAAUGCUUGCUCUGAGACUUUGCAUAUCACAGAACGCAGAACUGAGUGUGGCUUUGGGGCGAGGAGUUCAUUCAUGCACCUAAAGUACAAAUUUAGAAGUGUGGUGUGCAGACUCCGUUGUAGUAGUUAUGUUCCAUGUAUCAACUACUAUUUUGAAUUCAGUGGUGACUCAUGCAAAGAGAAAUUACGGCCUUUGUCCAAUCCUCUACAAUUAGUUGAGCACCAACAAAAUCGGAGAAGCCCACCCUUCAAACUAGCUACAGAUUCCAAUUAAGUUCUAACCACCCAAGUACUUCUAUGAUUUGUAUCAUGAUCACAAACAAAGCGUCAUUGACAUGGGACCUUCCCUUUAUUGUCAGGCUAUAGCUUGAAUGUUAUUAGAAGCUUUGGUGUAUUGAUCAUUUCAAUAUAGUUCAAUGUGACCUAUAGCAUAUCCUUAUGAAGAGCUACAACAUAUGUGUAAUCAAGGUUAUCAAUAUUGAAAGCAGUUGCUUCUUAACAAACAACAUAAGCCUGGGAUCAUUUUGGAACAUCACGCUCGAUUUGACCAAUCUGAACCAUGCCCCUGACCAGGUGGAACCUCCGGAAAAUUAAGAGAAUGAAGGAUGCUACAUCAUGUUUAUGAUAGAGGCAUAUAGUUAUCUCUGCUGCAUUCUUAAUAAGCUGCUUCCUUGUUGCUUAUAUUGAUGCAUCUAUCACUUCCCUGUAGGGCAUCAUAUCAAGGAGACAAGCUGGAGUUGGAUGAUAAUUGAUGGAUGAGCUUGAAUUUCUUGAUGUUGCACUGUUUAUGUGGAGCUGGAGAACAUGACAUAUAAUCUCUCCAUGAUGAUUUUUUCAGGGAGAGAACAAGUGUAUGUAGUAUGUACCACUUUGUUUGCACCUUCACCUAUAAAAUCUGUUGAUUAUUCAUGAUACUUCAAUUGGUUUUUAUUUUGUUGCAUGAACAAGAAAAGGGGUGCUCCGCAUGUUCAGUAGGAAGGUAGAGGAGAGGCCGGGGAAACCGGAGAGGGCGUAAGGAAGACAACACGGCCAUUGGUGGCGGUGGCCGGACUAAGGCAUGGUGGUGGUGGUGGUGCUUGAGGGUGGGUGGCUCCUCCGGAAGGAGACGGCGCCUUCUGAUUAUACCAUAGAGGAUGGGGUAACCCGCCAGAUCAGGGACAUGUCAAUUCCUGGUGUAGGUGAUUCAGGGUGUGGUUGAACAUCAGUGGCAUGGGACUCCACCUGGCCCCAUCUUCUGUGUUGAAAUGAUGGCUCACAAGACUGAUCUAAUAUGCUUUGGAAGAUCUUAUGUUUUUGUAAACUACCUGAUGGCAAGUUGAUUUUCCUAAUAUAAUGUAAGUUGUUUGUGUUGGUCUCCAAAAAAUUGA